GGUUCAUAUUGCCCACAUUUCCUUAUUUUGUAGUUGCUGCUUCUCACCAGAUUUUAUUUUAGAAUUGUGAUUCCAGCUCCCACCUGUAAUAGUAUUCUAUUUCUUGUAUGUGUAUUGAUUUAUGAUUUGUAUCAGUGAUAACACCGCGUAAGGGAUCUCCUAGUACGCGUAGGUUUUCGUACCUAUUAUCUAAAUAUGGUAAACCGUUUGGAAGGUCAAAGCAGGAGUCACGUGAACGAAACUGUUUCCAAGACAGGUCACAAAAUGAUCUGACAAGGAGUAAGUAAUAAAGGUAGGUAAAUAAGCUACUUAGUCAGGAACCACAUGCAGGUGUGAUAGUAAUCCAGGCUUAGUGCUGCAGAUACCAUAGCAUUAGAAAUUAACAAGAAUGAACAUGAGAAGUGGCAAUGAGGUAAGAUCACUGACUGGGAUGAAGAAGACCCAGAUUCAAUCCCAGCCAGACCCUGAGAAGUGAUGUCCAUGCCUGGCAGUCUGCUUGGCAUGGUGCAAACCGUGACAGUAGGAGUGCUAUGACAGAUAUGGGUGCCCUCCCAGAAGUCCUGGUAGAUCUUUUUUGAAGGAAGUGUCAAAAUGCUGUCGCCACAUCUGGAUAGUGGAAGUCUGCAUGACAUGGUGCGAACCGUGACAAUAGAAGUGCUAAGACAGCUAUGGAUGCACUCCCAAAAGUCCUGGCAGAUCUUUUUUGAAAGAAACCUGCUAACAGUUUAAUUGAUAUGCUUUCUUGAAGAAGUGAGUUUUCAAUGAUUUUUUUGAAUGAGUGGAGACUGAGUGAAAGUCUUACGGAUAAGGGAAAGGAGUUCCACAGAAGAGGUGCAGCCCUGGAGAAAUCUUGGAGGCAAGCAUCAGAGGCGGGAGUAUGGACAGAGGAUAUACGUAGGUCUUUGGCAGAGCGUAGGGGCCUCGACGGGACAUACUUGUGUAUUAGGGAGGAUAGAUAGGUUGGAGCAGCAUUAUGUAGGGACUUGUACGCAAGCACCAGAAUUUAAAAUUUAACCCUAUAUCUAACUGGCAGUAGUUAAGGCGAGAGAGAACAAGAGCAUGGACCAGCACCUUAGCUGCAUCCAGGGUUAAAUAGGGGCGAAUGUGCGCUAUGUUUUGAGAUGGAAGUGACAGGAUUUGGCGAUUGGAUAUGAGGGAAAAGGAGAGGUUGGAGUCAAAAAGGUACACCCAGGCAGCGAGCCUUCGAGGUAGAGGUGAUGGUAGCACCGCUGACUUGGAGGUAGACAGACACAGGAGUAGUAACACUUGAGGUAGGAAAGACCAGAUGUUCUGUUGUGGACAGGUUGAGUUUAAGGAAGUGAGCAGCCAUCCAGUUGGAAAUCGAAGAGAGGCAGUCAGAGACACGAGUCAAGAUGGGCGGAGAGAGAUCAGGAGAGGACAGGUAGAUUUGCAUGUCAUCCGCAUAGAAAUAACGGAAGCCAAAGGAGCUGAUGAGUUUACCAAGGGAGGCAGUAUAGAUGGAAAACAGUAGGGGACCAAGGACAGAACCUUGGGGUACGCCAAUAGAGAGUGGUUGUGGGGAAGGGGCAGAGUCAGAGAAAGAAACACUGAAAGAGUGCUUGGAGAGGUAGGAGGAGCACCAGGAGAGAGGAAUAUCCCGUAGACCAAAUGGAGCAUGCAAAGAAGCUGUUGAUGAUCAACAGUGUCAAAGGCAGCAGAAAGAUCAAGGAGAAUUAGGAUAGAGUAAUGGCAACGAGAUUUAGCAGCAAUUAAAUCGUUGGAUACUUUGGUCACAGCCGUUUCAACAGAAUGACCAGUGCGGAAUCCAGACUGAAGGGGGUCAAGCAGAGAGUUGGAUUCAAGAAAGUCAGUCUUGUGUACACAACUCUCUCGAGGAUCUUGGAGGCAAAUGGCAUUAGCGGGAUAGGGCGGGAGUUGGGGUUGUGGCGAAACCGGCCUCGCCACGUGUCCUUGGAGGGGGCUGCUUGCCUGCCUCUUGCUAUGGACUAUGGACCAGACUUUAUGUGAAUGUGUUAUACCCCAGAUAGGAAUCCCAUGGAGCCCAUUCGUAUGAAACUGACUGUAAAGACUUUGGCUCCAUGGCGAUUAAACUGUAUUUGUGUGGUCCGAGCGCCAUUCACUUAAUAAUGUGCGCUCAGACCUGAGCUAUCUGGGUAUAUGUGAAAUGUCUGUGUGUUAUGUGUAAAAUGUGACUUUAUGUAUUUUAAAGUGUUUUGUGUCUUUUUGCAACCAUGUGUCUAAUGGAGUCUUGUGUCUGUCCUGGGAGAUAAUUGAAUUACUUAUCUCCAGGAUUGAAGACUCUGAAACUGGUUUGGGCCAGAAAGCCAUGCUUCAUUUAGUCACAAAGGACUUUUUACUAACUUUUGAACCCCUUGUCUGAUUUGUGCCAUUUUUGAAUAUGUUGUUCCCCUGAAUAGAUUGAUUGUGAAUAUGUAAUUUUAUGUGAAUGUGAUGUAUGGUUUUGGAGUUAUGAAAG